UGGUUCAAUGGCAGAAUUCCUGCCUUUCAUGCAGGCGAUCUUGGGUCGAUUCCCAG
rnacentral:tRNA from 1 species